rfam:Camelus ferus unplaced genomic scaffold scaffold439, whole genome shotgun sequence.
GCCCCAGUGGCCUAAUGGAUAAGGCACUGGCCUCCUAAGCCAGGGAUUGUGGGUUCGAGUUCCACCUGGGGUA